rnacentral:rRNA from 1 species
UCGGGAAUUUUGGGCAAUGGGCGCAAGCCUGAUCCAGCCAUGCCGCGUGGAUGAUGAAGGCCUUAGGGUUGUAAAAUCCUUUCGCCGAGGACGAUAAUGACGGUACUCGGAGAAGAAGCUCCGGCUAACUUCGUGCCAGCAGCCGCGGUAAUACGAAGGGGGCUAGCGUUGUUCGGAUUUACUGGGCGUAAAGCGCGUGUAGGCGGGUCGUUAAGUUGGGGGUGAAAUCCCCGGGCUCAACCUGGGAAUGGCAUUUGUGACUGUAGAGCUAGAGUACGGUAGAGGGGGAUGGAAUUCCGCGUGUAGCAGUGAAAUGCGUAGAUAUGCGGAGGAACACCGAUGGCGAAGGCAAUCCCCUGGACCUGUACUGACGCUCAUGCACGAAAGCGUGGGGAGCAAACAGGAUUAGAUACCCCCGUAGUCCCUGAGCGGGCUGGCAAGGCGCAU